rnacentral:RNase_P_RNA from 1 species
AAAGGCAGACAGAUAAUCGUCCUGUUCCGACUGGUCGGAGCAGGAAGGAAAGUCCGAACUCCAUAAGGCAAGGCGCCGUCAGAGUUCCGACCGAUCGGGGCAAUGACGGGUAUUUAUCCUGUAAAGGAUAGAUAACGGAAAGUGGAACAGAAAAGAUACCGUCCCGCAUUUAGCGGGAUAAGGGUGAAAUCGUGCGGUAAGAGCGCACGGGCUGCGGCAGUAAUGCCGCUUUAGGCUAAACCCCGCCUGGAGCAAGAUCAAAUAAGAAGGUGUGUGCGCCUGGAGCGCAUAUAGAGCCGCCUGCUCGAUUCGAAAGAGCAUCUUCGGGUAGAUCGCAUGCGUUUCGGAAUUAGAUCUUCAGAUUUAAUUUCAGAUCGGCAUCCGCUUUUAGCGGAAGAUAAAUGAUUAUCACCGGCCUCCGGCUGGGACAGAAUUCGGCUUACCGUCUGCUUUUUUAU